GACGAACGCUGGCGGCGUGCCUAAUACAUGCAAGUCGAACGCAGUGGGGACGGGUGAGUAACACGUGGGUAACCUCCCAUCAGAGGGGAUAACACUUGGCAACAGGUGCUAAACCGAUACUGAUGGAUGGACACGCGGUGCAUUAGCUAGUUGGUGAGGUAACGACUCACCAAGGCCACGAUGCAUAGACGACCUGAGAGGAGGAUCGGCCACACUGGGACUGAGACCCGGUCCAGACUCCUACGGGAGGCAGCAGUAGGGAAUCUUCGGCAAUGGACGAAAGUCUGACCGAGCAACGACGCGUGAGUGAAGAAGGUUUUCGGAUCGUAAAGCUCUUUUGUUAGAGAAGCGGUAUCUAACCAGAAAGCCACGGCUAACUCCGUGCCAGCAGCCGCGGUAAUUC
rnacentral:rRNA from 1 species